GAGCCAUUAGCUCAGUUGGUAGAGCAUCUGACUUUUAAUCAGAGGGUCGAAGGUUCGAGUCCUUCAUGGCUCACCAUUU
rnacentral:tRNA from 4 species